AUUGAACGCUGGCGGCAUGCCUUACACAUGCAAGUCGAACGGCAGCACGGGAGCAAUCCUGGUGGCGAGUGGCGAACGGGUGAGUAAUACAUCGGAACGUGCCCAAUCGUGGGGGAUAACGCAGCGAAAGCUGUGCUAAUACCGCAUACGAUCUACGGAUGAAAGCAGGGGAUCGCAAGACCUUGCGCGAAUGGAGCGGCCGAUGGCAGAUUAGGUAGUUGGUGAGGUAAAGGCUCACCAAGCCGUCGAUCUGUAGCUGGUCUGAGAGGACGACCAGCCACACUGGGACUGAGACACGGCCCAGACUCCUACGGGAGGCAGCAGUGGGGAAUUUUGGACAAUGGGCGAAAGCCUGAUCCAGCCAUGCCGCGUGCAGGAUGAAGGCCUUCGGGUUGUAAACUGCUUUUGUACGGAACGAAACGGCCUUUUCUAAUAAAGAGGGCUAAUGACGGUACCGUAAGAAUAAGCACCGGCUAACUACGUGCCAGCAGCCGCGGUAAUACGUAGGGUGCAAGCGUUAAUCGGAAUUACUGGGCGUAAAGCGUGCGCAGGCGGUUAUGUAAGACAGUUGUGAAAUCCCCGGGCUCAACCUGGGAACUGCAUCUGUGACUGCAUAGCUAGAGUACGGUAGAGGGGGUUGGAAUUCCGCGUGUAGCAGUGAAAUGCGUAGAUAUGCGGAGGAACACCGAUGGCGAAGGCAAUCCCCUGGACCUGUACUGACGCUCAUGCACGAAAGCGUGGGGAGCAAACAGG
rnacentral:rRNA from 1 species